rnacentral:sRNA from 1 species
AGGCUACUGAGUUAGCUUGGGUGGAUGGUGGCUAGCGAGGCUUUGACCACUUUGUUGAUGCUGCUGAUUUUUCUGUGAUUUUGGAAGAGUUUCUCCAAGCCUUCACAUAACCUUCUCUGAGCUCCUCUUGCACCUUGUCGGUUGUGUGUGACAUGCUUCUCAAUGGCAGAGCCUUGUGUCAUCAUCGUCUUGACAUGGGCUGUGAGGUUGGCGAUUUGAAGGAGCUGCAGACACUAGACAUUUCUACCAAUCGUUUGCUAACUUUACCCGAGAGGCUUCACAUGUGCCUUUCUCUGCAGUACCUCACUGUGGACCGAAAUCGUCUAUGGUAUGUGCCGCGCCAUCUCUGCCAGCUGCCCAGCCUCAAUGAGCUCUCCAUGGCUGGAAACCGUCUUGCGUUUUUGCCACUUGAUUUAGGUCGAUCUCGAGAACUACAAUAUGUAUACGUGGAUAACAACAUUCACCUGAAAGGCUUGCCGUCUUAUCUGUACAAUAAAGUCAUCGGGUGCAGUGGCUGUGGUGCUCCCAUUCAAGUUUCCGAGGUGAAGCUGCUUUCCUUUUCAUCAGGGCAGCGAACCGUGUUCCUCCCAGCUGAGGUGAAGGCCAUAGGGACGGAGCAUGAUCACGUCCUCCCUCUGCAGGAAUUGGCCAUGAGAAGUCUGUAUCGUACCUACCACAGCUUGCUGAAAGAUUUGAACUUUCUGUCUCCAAUCUCAUUACCCAGAAGUCUCCUGGAGCUGCUGCACUGCCCUCUGGGGCACUGUCAUCGGUGUAGUGAGCCUAUGUUUACCAUCGUCUACCCCAAGCUCUUUCCCUUGAGAGAGACGCCAAUGGCAGGGCUGCACCAGUGGUAAUCAUGCCUAAGUGGGCACCAGGGUUUACACCCAGGCAAGGGGUGCCGGGUGGGGAGGGGAGAGGCUGUGCAUGAAAGCAUUAAGUCAGUGGUUUUAAAGGAGCAUAACAUGCUUCCUGAGAAAC